GACGAACGCUGGCGGCGUGCUUAACACAUGCAAGUCGAACGGAAAGGCCCUGCUUGCAGGGUCCUCGAGUGGCGAACGGGUGAGUAACACGUGGGUGAUCUGCACUGUACUUCGGGAUAAGCUUGGGAAACUGGGUCUAAUACCGGAUAGGAGCCAUCUUCAGUGUGGUGGUUGGAAAGUUUUUUCGGUGUAGGAUGAGCUCGCGGCCUAUCAGCUUGUUGGUGGGGUAAUGGCCUACCAAGGCGGCGACGGGUAGCCGCCCUGAGAGGGUGUACGGCCACAUUUGGAUGGUGAGACGGCCCAGACUCCUGCAGGAGGCAGCAUGGGGGAAUAUUGCACAAUGGGCGCAAGCCUGAUGCAGCAACGCCGCGUGGUGGAUGAAGGCCUUCGGGUUGUAAACACCUUUGGCUAGGGACGAAGCUUUUUUGUGACGAUACCUAGAUAAGAAGCACCGGCUAACUACGUG
rnacentral:rRNA from 1 species